rnacentral:misc_RNA from 1 species
UCCUGAUACCAAGUGAUAAUGUGAAAAAAAAGUGUUACUAUAACGGUCUACGCUACAGGUUCCCCAUAAAAAUGAGAAUUGGAUAUGAACAAGAGAGUACUUUUAACGAACUUCCUUUACAGUGAUAUUAACUAAUGUUUCCUUCCUUUGUUUUGUUUAUUGGUUAGUGACUAACAUUGUUUCUGUUCAACACUUCUAAUCCCUGACACUGAGCUGGAACAGCGAGUGUUGAUUUUUGCCUGCUUACUGUGAGUUCUUAGCCUUCUUUGCAGCAAAAAGUUGGCGAAGGAAAGCAAAUUUUCCCUUUGCUCGUGCAGAAAACUCAACAAUAGUACCAUUGCUGGCAACCGUCUGCUCCACUGGUUCUGUUGCCAGUAGAGACGGUGAGGGUAGUGGAAGUGUGAAAAGAUAUGCAGUAAGCAUCCGGAUUAUCUGGCUGAAG